AUUGAACGCUGGCGGCAGGCCUAACACAUGCAAGUCGAGCGAGCGGCGGACGGAUGACCAAGGUAUGGGGCUCUGCCCGGUGGAGGGCGAUAGCUAAUGGACACUGUUGCUAAUACCGCAUACUAUCGGAUGAACCCAUAUGGGAUUAGCGAGUGGGUGGGGUAAAGGCUCACCUAGGCCACGAUCUCUAGCUGGUCUGAGAGGAUGAUCAGCCACACUGGGACUGAGACACGGCCCAGACUCCUACGGGAGGCAGCAGUGGGGAAUAUUGGACAAUGGGCGCAAGCCUGAUGCAGCCAUGCCGCGUGUAUGAAGAAGGCCUUCGGGUUGUAAAGCACUUUAAGCGGGGAGGCGUUACCAGCAGAAGAAGCACCGGCUAACUCCGUGCCAGCAGCCGCGGUAAUAC
rnacentral:rRNA from 1 species